GGUCCAGUGGCCUAAAGGUAAGGCGUCGCUCUCCGGAGGCGACGAUUGCGGGUUCGAGUCCCGUCUGGAUCU
rnacentral:tRNA from 1 species